rnacentral:rRNA from 1 species
AUACAGAGGGUGCGAGCGUUAAUCGGAAUUACUGGGCGUAAAGCGCGCGUAGGCGGUCUAUUAAGUCAGAUGUGAAAUCCCAGGGCUCAACCUUGGAACUGCAUCUGAUACUGGUAGACUAGCGUUUUGGAGAGGGAAGUAGAAUUUCAGGUGUAGCGGUGAAAUGCAUAGAGAUCUGAAGGAAUACCAGUGGCGAAGGCGACUUCCUGGCCAAAAACUGACGCUGAGGUGCGAAAGCGUGGGUAGCAAACGGGAUUAGAAACCCUAGUAGUCC